GACGAACGCUGGCGGCGUGCUUAACACAUGCAAGUCGAACGGAAAGGCCCUGCUUGCAGGGUACUCGAGUGGCGAACGGGUGAGUAACACGUGGGUGAUCUGCCCUGCACUUCGGGAUAAGCCUGGGAAACUGGGUCUAAUACCGGAUAGGAGCCAUUUUUAGUGUGAUGGUUGGAAAGUUUUUUCGGUGUAGGAUGAGCUCGCGGCCUAUCAGCUUGUUGGUGGGGUAAUGGCCUACCAAGGCGGCGACGGGUAGCCGGCCUGAGAGGGUGGACGGCCACAUUGGGACUGAGAUACGGCCCAGACUCCUACGGGAGGCAGCAGUGGGGAAUAUUGCACAAUGGGCGCAAGCCUGAUGCAGCGACGCCGCGUGGGGGAGGACGGCCUUCGGGUUGUAAACUCCUUUCGCUAGGGACGAAGCUUUUCGUGACGGUACCUAGAUAAGAAGCACCGGCUAACUACGUG
rnacentral:rRNA from 1 species